ACUGGCAACUUUGGUCGGACCAACUUUUUCGAUUCAACUCAGCAUGUCGAGUCGCGCGCGAUUUGUGUCGGCAACCUUUUCGUUCAAUUGCUGUUGACGUUUUGAUUUCUGCGUUCAUUGAAUUUCAAUAUCUGUCAGUGGUGAUGCAAAACAGUGUUUACAAUAUUGGCGCAUCUGUUUCUAUGAACGAACGAGAUGAAAUGCCAUCAAUAUGCAAGUUCUCUUGAUAUACCGUCCGGGAAGAGUGCUGAAUUGGUCAAGGAUGCGUAUAAUAUUGGAGAUUGAGCAAGAAGCACAGAAUCCGCUGGAUGUGUUUUUUCCAAGUUAACAGCAAUUGUUGCUGUCUGUUGUUAUCAGCGAGCCGAAAUAAGUAUGUUAGAUAGCCUAAAGCCGGGUUCAGACGGUGCGAGUAAGCAUACGAGUCGGUCUAGUCAGUUACUGCAGUACAGCUACUCACACCGUGUGAACACAUCAUGCCAGUUAGUGUCAUGUGUGAUUCGGCGUGCGAGCUACUUCAAAUUUUUUUGAAUUUACUCGCACUCGCAUCCCUCAAAACGUCAAAAACAGAAUUUAGCGCUCGAAUCAGGGAUGCCAAAUCUUUACAUUGUCUUUACAUGUCUCUAUUUUUAAGAUAUUUGAAAAUAUGCGAAGAUUAUUAUAGACUUGAAAAUUAUUGAAAAAACAAAUAAAACCCUCAUAGUUUCUAAGCGGAAUCGUUGUUAUUUAUUUAGCUUGCCCUGUAAUCUGUUUGUAUGUUUGUAACAUGUCCCACAUUAGUAGAAAUUUGACCCCCUUCUUGUUGACCGAUUGAUCUGAAAUUUGGAACACA